GGGAAAUGUAGUAAAGAAGUGAUGAUCCAGGCAGGAAAUGACCUAGCAUGGAGACUCAUGCAUAAACAAGGGAAGAAGGAAGUGUGGUCUUUCUUCCUCCAGCAGCACCAUGUGAUCCACCAGCAAAUGAGGAUGCCUAUGGAAGGCAUCGAUAAGAAAAUGAAAAGCUGUGGAUGCCUUCCAGACUAAUAUGGUUUGAUUAAGCAAGACCCUCUGAAGCAGUGACCCAACUGAUGCUACAUCCAAAACAGCUGAGAUGAUACAGCCUUACAGACUACAAAAACAAGGACUUGGUAUUGUGUUUAUAUAGAUCUUUUAAAAUGAUAUACACAAUUAAAAUUAAAUACAGGUUUUUCUUGGCAGUGAGACACAACUGCUCUUGGCACACCAAUUAUGUCAGAAAGGAGGAUGGGCAUCAAAGAAACUUGUUUUGGUGUUUGCUUUCAACAUGGCAAGAUUAUCCAUUUGGGCAGGAAACUGCUCUUGCCUGGACUGUUUUUUGCUGUAUAAACUGGACAUGCAGGACCCACAAGAAAGUGACUGCUGAACUUGCAAAACAAGACAGUACUAAAGGGUUCCUGUUAAAAUGGAGAAGUGUGCCAGACACACUAUGGCCUAUGGGAUGAAGAUGGAUGCCCCAACAUUACAGAGGAACUUUGGGUGACUGUCAAGGUAGCCAAAUGUCUCUGUCAAUUCUAGAGUUUAUAUAUUAUCAUUCUGUGGUUUUUGAUAAAGUUGAAGACAGUUAUGGUUAUAGUUUUCUUCAGUUAUUAUAAAAGAUAAGUUAUCCUUAUUAUUUGGACAUAAAAGAAGAGAUGAUGGGGGGAUGUACUUCUAUGUAUGUUCAUCUUAUUGAUUGUUGAAUAAAGUACUGUUUGGCCAAUGAGGCAGCAAGGGAGUAGGAGUCAAAGAGGAUUCUGGGAAAUGUAGUAAAGAAGUGAUGAUCCAGGCAGGAAAUGACAUAGCAGGGAGAAUCAUACAUAAACAAGGGAAGAAGGAAGUGGCCUCUCUCUUCUACCAGUGGCAUCAUGUGAUCUACCGGCAAGUGAGGACACCAAUGGAAUGUGUCCAAUAACAUAAGUCUUAUAUAUAAAAUAUAUAAGUUUAUGAUAAUUAAGACUGAGCUAACAGAUUAGAAUCCUAGUCAUUGGCCAAGCAGCAUUUUUACCUAAUAUAAGUCUCUGUGCAUUAAUUGGGGCCUUAACUCUGUGGGCAGAACUCAGGCAGCUGGCAGAAACCACCCACGUGGCAGUAGGGCUCGGGCAGCUUUUGGCGGAAAGAUUUGUCAUAACAUUGUGUGUGUGUGUGUGUGUGUGUGUGUGUGUGUGUGUGUGUGCAUGUGUGUGUAUUCAAAGUGCAAAAGUAUAUGAAGCUUUAAGAAGAAAAGGCAAACAUGGUGACAAUGCAAAAUCAAACACACAGUAUAAAUAUAAAGUAACAUAAAUAAUUUUUAAGAACCAAAUAAAUUCCAGAAGUGAUAGUGUGAAAACUGAAAUGAAAUAUUUACUAGAGUACCAAUCUAAUAAUUGAACUGACAACAAAAUCAUCAGAAAAGUUGAAUAUAAAUAUAUAACACACAAUACAAGACUAGAGAGGAAAAAUGAAUGAAC
rnacentral:lncRNA from 1 species